AUCCCUUCUUGGCCUUUUAGCUAAAAUCAAGUGUAGUACCCAUUCUUGUCAGUUUUAUGCCACUCAUAUCUUCAAUAUGAGGACUUGAUGUUAAAUGAGUGUGGAAAGCGGGAGGUGGACUUGGAGCUUGCUCUGUGCCUUGUCCUAAAAUGCAGUGCCCCAGGGAACAGGAC
rnacentral:snRNA from 1 species